GACGAACGCUGGCGGCGUGCUUAACACAUGCAAGUCGAGCGGUAAGGCCCUUUCGGGGGUACACGAGCGGCGAACGGGUGAGUAACACGUGGGUGACCUGCCUUUAGCUCUGGGAUAAGCCUGGGAAACCGGGUCUAAUACCGGAUAUGACUCCGCGGCGCAUGUUGUGGGGUGGAAAGCCUUGUGCGGCUGGAGAUGGGCCCGCGGCCUAUCGGCUUGUUGGUGGGGUGAUGGCCUACCAAGGCGACGACGGGUAGCCGGCCUGAGAGGGCGACCGGCCACACUGGGACUGAGACACGGCCCAGACUCCUACGGGAGGCAGCAGUGGGGAAUCUUGCGCAAUGGGCGAAAGCCUGACGCAGCGACGCCGCGUGAGGGAUGACGGCCUC
rnacentral:rRNA from 1 species